rnacentral:rRNA from 1 species
UACGUAGGGUGCGAGCGUUGUCCGGAAUUACUGGGCGUAAAGAGCUCGUAGGCGGUUUGUCGCGUCGUUCGUGAAAACUUGGGGCUUAACUUCAAGCGUGCGGGCGAUACGGGCAGACUUGAGUACUACAGGGGAGACUGGAAUUCCUGGUGUAGCGGUGAAAUGCGCAGAUAUCAGGAGGAACACCGGUGGCGAAGGCGGGUCUCUGGGUAGUAACUGACGCUGAGGAGCGAAAGCGUGGGUAGCGAACAGGAUUAGAUACCCCCGUAGUCC